rnacentral:rRNA from 1 species
GACGAACGCUGGCGGCGUGCUUAACACAUGCAAGUCGAACGGAAAGGCCCUGCUUGCGGGGUACUCGAGUGUCGAACGGGUGAGUAACACGUGGGUGAUCUGCCCUGCACUUCGGGAUAAGCCUGCGAAACUGGGUCUAAUACCGCAUAUGAGCCAUUCUGAUUGUGAGUGUUGGAAAGUUUUUUCGGGGUAGGAGGGGAUUGCGGCCUAUCCGCUUGUUGGUGGGGUAAUGGCCUACCAAGGCGGCGACGGGUAGCCGGCCUGGGAGGGUGGACGGCCAAAUUGGGAACGGGAUAACGGCCAGAACCCUACGGGAGGCAGCAGGGGGGAAUAUUGCCCAAUGGGGGCAAGCCUGAUGGCGCGACGGCGGGUGGGGGAUGACGGGCCUCGGGUUGUAAACCCCUUUCGCCAGGGAAGAAGCUUUUUGUGACGGUACCUAGAAAAGAAGCACCGGCUAACUACGUG